UUGUGGUCAACAAGCUCAGAGAAGUUCUAAAGAGUACUGCAGUACUAUAUAAAGAUGCUAAUUCAAAAUAUGCAUUUGUUUACUUUCUGUGCUGGGAUUGAAGCUAUAUUUGAACUAGUUGGUGAUAUGGUGUUCUCAAUUUUGUGGUUGCAUUUCCACCUUGAGGACGGGGUUAAUUUUGAGGGGUUGGUAAUAUAACAAAUAUAGCCUCAUGUAUAUAUAAAUAAAUGUAGGGCUAAGAUUAGAUUAAAA
rnacentral:lncRNA from 1 species